rnacentral:rRNA from 1 species
GAUAGGUGCCAGCCGCCGCGGUAAUACGGAGGGUGCGAGCGUUAAUCGGAAUAACUGGGCGUAAAGGGCAUGUAGGCGGUAAGUUAAGUCAGAUGUGAAACUCCCCGAGCUUAACUUGGGAACGGCAUUUGAGACUGGCUGGCUAGAGUUUUGUAGAGGGGGUAGAAUUCCAGGUGUAGCGGUGAAAUGCGUAGAGAUCUGGAGGAAUACCGGUUGCGAAGGCGGCCCCUGGACAAGGACUGACGCUGAGGUGCGAAAGCGUGGGUAGCAAACAGGAUUAGAUACCCUGGUAGUCCACGCUGUAAACGAUGUCGAUUUGGAGGUUGUGGCCUAGUGUUAUGGCGUCCGAAGCUAACGCGAUAAAUCGACCGCCUGGGGAGUACGGCCGCAAGGUUA